UUCUUUCUCAGUGGUUUUGCCAGUUGGUGUAUUUCUUUGCUUAUUUCCACUUUUUCUUCCUCUGCAGCAUCCCCCAUGAAGUGGCGCUGAAAGAUCACGUUAGCACAGUUCCAUGAUGUGAAAUACCACAAGUCUGCAAUUUUUCGGUCUUGAGAGCAGCGCUGGGUUGAGAGGAUGGAAAUCUUUCAGUAAUUAUACCAGUUUGUAUUCGUCUCACAUUUGGGACCAAAUACAAAUCCGAUCCACUCUUUCUCCCUGUGAAUAUUCAUAAAAAACAAAGUGCCAAUUCUGGGCUGAUCAUGUAUGGAACCAAACAUGUUGAAGGGCCUUCGGUCACAUGAGACCCUGGCAGCAGGCCAAGCCUGGGAAAAUUCACAUAAUGUCAGAAGCAAUGAAGAAUGUGGAAGGCAACAGAAAAAUACAGAUGUGCUGCUGUGCUCAGGGAUUCUCAAUCUGAGAUUCAUGUGGUCCUAGGCAGGAAUGGGGAAGUUUUCACAAAUUUCUUCAAGUUAUUGACAAAAUUAGCCAUGACAUCCAUUCGAUGGGGAGAGAGGCAAGUGCUUUCAUCGGAUUCUCCAAGGUAGGUAUUCAUUAACCAAGGUAUAAGAAAAUUUAAUAAGUAGUGAAUUAGUUACAUCUUUGAGUAGAUACUAACAAAUGUGUUUAUAUUGCUUAAACUGCAAGAUAGCUGAAAUAUCACUUUAGGGUUAGGUAGAUUUGAGCUAGAGCUCUAUCAUUUAAAAUGAUUUUGGAUAAAUUAGAGUUCUCAUUUGUAAAACGGGCAUACAAUGAUACUUACCUCAUUGAGAUAAUAUAAUUUUCUAGAUGAGAAGUAUAAAUGCAAUUUUAAAACACCUAGCAAACUUCCUGGCAUGUAGUGAGUACUCAACAAAAGUUAUGUCAAAG
rnacentral:lncRNA from 1 species